GCUCUGGGUAAUAUGGUCCUUUAUAUAGCAUUUAAAUUGCACGUUAACAAAAUUGAAGUACAAGAUUUGAAAUCAACAGAUUAAAAAUACUUUGAUCGAUGGAAGUAAUAGACCCGAUAAUAAUACUGGCCAUAUGUUUGCCGUCUGUCACAGGU